CCUACGGGUGGCAGCAGUGAGGAAUAUUGGUCAAUGGACGAGAGUCUGAACCAGCCAAGUAGCGUGAAGGAUGACUGCCCUAUGGGUUGUAAACUUCUUUUAUAAGGGAAUAAAAUGAUGCACGUGUGCCUUUUUGUAUGUACUUUAUGAAUAAGGAUCGGCUAACUCCGUGCCAGCAGCCGCGGUAAUACGGAGGAUCCGAGCGUUAUCCGGAUGUAUUGGGUUUAAAGGGAGCGUAGAUGGGUUGUUAAGUCAGUUGUGAAAGUUUGCGGCUCAACCGUAAAAUUGCAAUUGAAACUGGCAGUCUUGAGUACAGUAGAGGUAGGCGGAAUUCGUGGUGUAGCGGUGAAAUGCUUAGAUAUCACGAAGAACCCCGAUUGCGAAGGCAGCUUACUAGACUGCAACUGACACUGAUGCUCGAAAGUGUGGGUAUCAAACAGGAUUAGAUACCCGAGUAGUC
rnacentral:rRNA from 1 species